GACGAACGCUGGCGGCGUGCCUAAUACAUGCAAGUAGAACGCUGAAGAGAGGAGCUUGCUCUUCUUGGCUGAGUUGCGAACGGGUGAGUAACGCGUAGGUAACCUGCCUUGUAGCGGGGGAUAACUAUUGGAAACGAUAGCUAAUACCGCAUAACAAUGGAUGACACAUGUCAUUUAUUUGAAAGGGGCAAUUGCUCCACUACAAGAUGGACCUGCGUUGUAUUAGCUAGUAGGUGAGGUAAUGGCUCACCUAGGCGACGAUACAUAGCCGACCUGAGAGGGUGAUCGGCCACACUGGGACUGAGACACGGCCCAGACUCCUACGGGAGGCAGCAGUAGGGAAUCUUCGGCAAUGGGGGCAACCCUGACCGAGCAACGCCGCGUGAGUGAAGAAGGUUUUCGGAUCGGAAAGUUCUGUUGUAAGUCAAGAACGGGUGCGAGAGUGGAAAGUUCACACUGUGACGGUAGCUUACCAGAAAGGGACGGCUAACUACGUG
rnacentral:rRNA from 1 species